rnacentral:rRNA from 1 species
GUUAUAUGGUCAAGUGAAGAAGCGCAUACGGUGGAUGCCUUGGCAGUCAGAGGCGAUGAAAGACGUGGUAGCCUGCGAAAAGCUUCGGGGAGUCGGCAAACAGACUUUGAUCCGGAGAUGUCUGAAUGGGGGAACCCAGCCAUCAUAAGAUGGUUAUCUUGUACUGAAUACAUAGGUGCAAGAGGCGAACCAGGGGAACUGAAACAUCUAAGUACCCUGAGGAAAAGAAAUCAACCGAGA